UGUUAGAGUUAAAUAGCCCUACAUUAGAAUUGUGGGGUUAGAGCAGUCUCGAGAUGACAACACAAAUGGCCCCUCACAUUUCACACUUGAUGAGGAAAUGGAAUUCAAAGAAUUUGCGCAGAGGCCGGAUGCAUAUGCCAAGAUUUGUUCAAUGAUUGGCCCUUCAAUUUAUGGUCAUGGUGAUGUCAAGAAAGCUAUUGCGUGCCUCUUGUUUGGGGGAUCAAAGAAGAGGCUACCAGAUGGUGUCCGUUUGAGAGGGGACAUUCAUGCCUUGCUUUUGGGUGAUCCAUCCACAGCAAAAUCGCAG